rnacentral:rRNA from 1 species
UACGAAGGGGGGCUAGCGUUGUUCGGAAUUACUGGGCGUAAAGGGCGCGUAGGCGGUGUGUCAAGUCAGGCGUGAAAGCCCCGGGCUCAACCUGGGAACAGCGCUUGAGACUGGGCACGCUCGAGUUCGGGAGAGGAUGGUGGAAUUCCCAGUGUAGAGGUGAAAUCGUAGAUAUUGGGAAGAACACCGAUGGCGAAAGGGCAGCCA